rnacentral:misc_RNA from 1 species
GAUGAAGAACGUAGCGAAAUGCGAUAAGUAAUGUGAAUUGCAGAAUUCAGUGAAUCAUCGAAUCUUUGAACGCACAUUGCGCCCGCCAGCAUUCUGGCGGGCAUGCCUGUUCGAGCGUCAUUUCAACCCUCGAGCCCCCCCGGGGGCCUCGGUGUUGGGGGACGGCACACCAGCCGCCCCCGAAAUGCAGUGGCGACCCCGCCGCAGCCUCCCCUGCGUAGUAGCACACACCUCGCACCGGAGCGCGGAGGCGGUCACGCCGUAAAACGCCCAACUCUCUUAGAGUUGACCUCGGAUCAGGUAGGAAUACCCGCUGAACUUAAGCAUAUCAAUAAGCGGAGGA